UCUUCUAUGAUGGAACCGGUAGACAUGUUUGACUUAAAAUCAAAUGCUUAACGGCGUAUGGGUUCAAAUCCCAUUAGAAGAA
rnacentral:tRNA from 1 species